rnacentral:rRNA from 1 species
CCUACGGGUGGCAGCAGUGAGGAAUAUUGGUCAAUGGCCGGAAGGCUGAACCAGCCAUGCCGCGUGAAGGUCAGUGCCCUAUGGGCGUUAAACUUCUUUUGUGCGGGAGCAAUAAUGGUCACGUGUGGCCAGACGAGAGUACCGUACGAAUAAGCAUCGGCUAACACCGUGCCAGCAGCCGCGGGAAUACGGGGGAUGCCAGCGUUAUCCGGAUUUAUUGGGUUUAAAGGGUGCGUAGGCUGUGCGGUAAGUCAGCGGUGAAAUGCCCCCGCGCAACGGGGUGAAGUGCCAUUGAUACUGCCUUGCUGGAAUGCGGAUGCCGUGGGAGGAAUGUGUGGGGGAGCGGUGAAAUGCAU